UACGUAGGGCGCAAGCGUUAUCCGGAAUUAUUGGGCGUAAAGAGCUCGUAGGCGGUUUGUCGCGUCUGCUGUGAAAGACCGGGGCUCAACUCCGGUUCUGCAGUGGGUACGGGCAGACUAGAGUGAUGUAGGGGAGACUGGAAUUCCUGGUGUAGCGGUGAAAUGCGCAGAUAUCAUGAGGAACACCGAUGGCGAAGGCAGGUCUCUGGGCAUUAACUGACGCUGAGGAGCGAAAGCAUGGGGAGCGAACAGG
rnacentral:rRNA from 1 species